rnacentral:rRNA from 1 species
AUGAGGAGAACUAGCGAAGGAUGCAUCGGUUUGCGUGGUGGAAAAUGUGUGUGCCAAAAGAGAGGUGGUAUGGGGUUCAGAGAUGUGCAUAGUUUUAAUCUAGCAAUGCUAGCUAAGCAAUGUUGGAAGCUGAUUGAAAAUUAUGAUUCACCCUAUGCAAGAGUAUUGAGAGCAAGAUACUAUUUGAGUGGUGACUUGUUAAACUAUGAAUUGAAAAAAGGGUCAUCCUAUGUGUGGUGAUGUAUUUGGUCAGGCAUCCAAACAUUCAAGAAAGGAUGUAUCUGGAGAGUGGGAGAUGGAGCAAAGAUCAACAUCUAG